UACGAGGGGGGCAAGUGUUGUUCGGAUUUACUGGGUGUAAAGGGAGCGCAGGCGGGAAAGCAAGUCAGAGGUGAAAUCCCCAUGCUUAACAUGGGUGCUGCCUUUGAUACUGCUUUUCUUGAGUGUUGGAGAGGGUAACGGAAUUCCAGGUGUAGCGGUGGAAUGCGUAGAUAUCUGGAAGAACACCAGUUGCGAAGGCGGUUACCUGGCCAAAUACUGACGCUCAUGCUCGAAAGCAGGGGGAGCAAACAGGAUUAGAUACCCUGGUAGUCCCUGCCCUAAACGAUGGACACUAGGUGUUGGAGGAGUUAAUCCUUCCAGCGCCGCAGCUAACGCAUUAAGUGUCCCACCUGGGGAGUACGGUCGCAAGGCUGAAACUCAAAGAAAUUGACGGGGGCCCGCACAAGCGGUGGAGUAUGUGGUUCAAUUCGACGCAACGCGAAGAACCUUACCUGGGCUUGACAUGAGGUGGACCAUUCCCAGAGAUGGGAACUUCUGUAGCAAUACAGACUGCCUACACAGGUGCUGCAUGGCUGUCGUCAGCUCGUGUCGUGAGAUAUUGGGUUAAGUCCCGCAACGAGCGCAACCCCUGUUCUUAGUUGCCAUCGGGUCAUGCCGGGCACUCUAAGAAGACCGCCUCGAAUAACGGGGAGGAAGGUGGGGAUGACGUCAAGUCAUCAUGGCCCUUACGUCUAGGGCUACACACGUACUACAAUGGCAGGCACAAAGGGUCGCAGAGCCGCGAGGUGAAGCUAAUCCCAAAAAUCCUGCCUCAGUUCAGAUUGCAGUCUGCAACUCGACUGCAUGAAGUUGGAAUCGCUAGUAAUCGCGGAUCAGCGUGCCGCGGUGAAUCCGUUCCCGGGCCUUGUACACACCGCCCGUCAAGCCAUGGAAGUCGGAAGUACCCAAAGUCGUUUGUUUAACCGCAAGGAGAGCAACGCCUAAGGUAAAGCCGAUGACUGGGGCU
rnacentral:rRNA from 1 species